rnacentral:rRNA from 1 species
UACGUAGGAUGCAAGCGUUGUCCGGAUUUACUGGGCGUAAAGCGCGCGCAGGCGGACAUCACCAAGUACCCUAUGAAAUCUCCUUGCUCAACGGGGAGGGUGUUGGGUAGACUGGUGAGCUAGAGGACGGGUAGAGGGGGUAGAAUUGCUGGUGUAGCGGUAGAAAUGCGUAGAGAUCAGCAGGAAUACCCGUGGCGAAGGCGGCCCC